UACGGGGGGGGCAAGCGUUGUUCGGAAUUACUGGGCGUAAAGGGCGCGUAGGCGGCCUGCUAAGUCGGACGUGAAAUCCCCCGGCUCAACCGGGGAACUGCGUCCGAUACUGGUGGGCUCGAAUCCGGGAGAGGGAUGUGGAAUUCCAGGUGUAGCGGUGAAAUGCGUAGAUAUCUGGAGGAACACCGGUGGCGAAGGCGGCAUCCUGGACCAAUACUGACGCUCAUGUGCGAAAGCGUGGGGAGCAAACAGG
rnacentral:rRNA from 1 species